AUGGACGAAGUGAGAGGAAAGAGCCUCGGGAGACCGUCGCCUCUCCUCACCGGCCUUCUCCCAGGUUCCCGAUCUGGAGCCUCUCCUCACCUUCUCCUAGAUCUGGAGCGGGAGGGACGGACGCCGGCGAGGCCAGCCUCCCCUUCACACACGGAGGUUGUUGAGAUUAUUGAUCGGUAUGAUCAUGCAUGUGUCCCACCUAACAUGACUGAUAAUAAGCUUGCGUACAUCCAGAAUGAGGCUAUAUCCAGAGAGUGCACAAGGACUCUCACGGAUACGAAGCAGCCAAUUUAUGCCUACUACCAACUUGACAACUUUUAUCAGAAUCAUAGGAGUUCAUGCCCCGGUCAAAUCUAG
rnacentral:rRNA from 1 species